UCUGGUGCGACGCAGCCGCGGUAAUUCCAGCUCCAAUAGCGUAUAUUAAAGUUGUUGCAGUUAAAAAGCUCGUAGUUGAACCUUGGGUCUGGCUGGCCGGUCCGCCUCACCGCGAGUACUGGUCCGGCUGGACCUUUCCUUCUGGGGAACCUCAUGGCCUUCACUGGCUGUGGGGGGAACCAGGACUUUUACUGUGAAAAAAUUAGAGUGUUCAAAGCAGGCCUUUGCUCGAAUACAUUAGCAUGGAAUAAUAGAAUAGGACGUGCGGUUCUAUUUUGUUGGUUUCUAGGACCGCCGUAAUGAUUAAUAGGGAUAGUCGGGGGCGUCAGUAUUCAGCUGUCAGAGGUGAAAUUCUUGGAUUUGCUGAAGACUAACUACUGCGAAAGCAUUCGCCAAGGAUGUUUUCAUUAAUCAGGGAACGAAAGUUAGGGGAUCGAAGACGAUCAGAUACCGUCGUAGUCUUAACCAUAAACUAUGCCGACUAGGGAUCGGGCGGUGUUUCUAUGAUGACCCGCUCGGCACCUUACGAGAAAUCAAAGUUUUUGGGUUCUGGGGGGAGUAUGGUCGCAAGGCUGAAACUUAAAGAAAUUGACGGAAGGGCACCACAAGGCGUGGAGCCUGCGGCUUAAUUUGACUCAACACGGGGAAACUCACCAGGUCCAGACAAAAUAAGGAUUGACAGAUUGAGAGCUCUUUCUUGAUCUUUUGGAUGGUGGUGCAUGGCCGUUCUUAGUUGGUGGAGUGAUUUGUCUGCUUAAUUGCGAUAACGAACGAGACCUCGGCCCUUAAAUAGCCCGGUCCGCGUUUGCGGGCCGCUGGCUUCUUAGGGGGACUAUCGGCUCAAGCCGAUGGAAGUGCGCGGCAAUAACAGGUCAGUGAGGCCC
rnacentral:rRNA from 1 species